CUACGGGGCGCUCCAGUGAGGAAUAUUGCACAAUGGGGGGAACCCUGAUGCAGCAACGCCGCGUGGAGGAUGACGCAUUUCGGUGUGUAAACUCCUUUUAUAUGUCAAGAAAAUGACGGUAGCAUAUGAAUAAGCACCGGCUAACUCCGUGCCGAGCAGCCGCGGUAAUACGGAGGGUGCAAGCGUUACUCGGAAUCACUGGGCGUAAAGGACGCGUAGGCGGGUUGGAAAGUCAGGUGUGAAAUCCUACAGCUUAACUGUAGAACUGCACUUGAAACUUCUAAUCUAGAGUAUGGGAGGGGGAGAUGGAAUUAGUGGUGUAGGGGUAAAAUCCGUAGAUAUCACUAGGAAUACCUAAAGCGAAGGCGAUCUCCUGGAACAUUACUGACGCUAAGGCGUGAAAGCGUGGGGAGCAAACAGGAUUAGAUACCCUCGUAGUC
rnacentral:rRNA from 1 species